rnacentral:lncRNA from 1 species
GAGCCUCCUGGAAUUGACGCGUUUUGGGAGGGAAACGAAUGUUGAUGUGCACGUGCCCAGCAGCACGUGGAAAAUGCGUCUAAUGUUUGGGGGUAGGCGCUUGGGUGGUCGAAUGGGCUGCCCAAGCUUGCCUUUUUGUCAAGUAGGGUUUUCAAGGAGACUUCAAGUGAGACACCUUCCUUGCCAAGGGAACCAGCAAGCAGACUGAGUAUCUCAGCCACACAGGUAGUCAGUGCUUCAGGGAUGAAUCCAGAGGUUAACUACUGAAUCAAUAUAGAAAGUGGACGUGGCUUGGUUUGUUAGAUCGUUUCUGUAUCCGGGAAAGGCGAUGUGGGCAGAGCUGGAGCUGCCCCCCCAGAGGGGCCAGUUGUUGGAGACAGCAGUGAUGUGGUAUGAUGACAGACAAGGCGACCAGCCAGCUCCUGUUGGAGACAGAUUGGGAGUCCAUUCUGCAGAUCUGCGACCUGAUCCGCCAAGGGGACACACAAGCAAAAUAUGCUGUGAAUUCCAUCAAGAAGAAAGUCAAUGACAAGAACCCACACGUCGCCUUGUAUGCCCUGGAGGUCAUGGAAUCUGUGGUAAAGAACUGUGGCCAGACAGUUCAUGAUGAGGUGGCCAACAAGCAGACCAUGGAGGAGCUGAAGGACCUGCUGAAGGU